rnacentral:rRNA from 1 species
ACACUGACGUCGCGACGCAUAUCAAUAAGCGGAGGAAAAGAAACUAACAAGGAUUCCCUUAGUAACGGCGAGUGAAGCGGGAAGAGCUCAAAUUUGAAAUCUUCAAGGUUUUACCUUGACGAAUUGUAGUUUAAAGAAGUGUUUUCUGUUAGAUGAGUAGCAAAAGUUCCUUGGAAUGGGACAUCAUAGAGGGCGAGAAUCCCGUAUUUGGUCAUUCCUUCUAGCUUUGUGAUACACUUUCAAAGAGUCGGAUUGUUUGGGAAUGCAGUCCAAAAUGGGUGGUAAAUUUCAUCUAAAGCUAAAUAUUGGCGAGAGACCGAUAGCGAACAAGUACCGUGAGGGAAAGAUGAAAAGAACUUUGAAAAGAGAGUUAAACAGUACGUGAAAUUGUCAAAAGGGAAGCGUUUGACACCAGUGUUGUUUUUCCGAAAAUCAAUUACGAAUGGCUUGAUUUUGUGUUGUAUUGACCUUAUCAACUUUCUGCACUUUUUUCGAGUCUUUCUUAAUGCACUUUUCGGUUAACAAGUCAACAUCAAUUUCUUUUGUUGUAAAAGAGUAUUCGGAAGGUGGCUUUCUUUUCGGAGAAAGUGUUUAUAGCCCUAUACUUCUACAAUCGGAGAGAUUGAGGUCUGCAGCGUAGAUCCUUCGGGGUUAGAUACACCUGUGCUAAGUUAUAGCUUUUCAUAGACAACUUGUUGACUAUGUUUAGUCAUGUCGCUUACUCGCUUGUGCUAUUUUACCUACGCUUAGGAUGUUGAGUCGUAGAGCACGCAG